rnacentral:rRNA from 1 species
CCUACGGGAGGCUGCAGUGAGGAAUAUUGGUCAAUGGACGAGAGUCUGAACCAGCCAAGUAGCGUGAAGGAUGACUGCCCUAUGGGUUGUAAACUUCUUUUAUAUGGGAAUAAAAUGUUCCACGUGUGGGAUUUUGUAUGUACCAUAUGAAUAAGGAUCGGCUAAUUCCGUGCCAGCAGCCGCGGUAAUACGGAGGAUCCGAGCGUUAUCCGGAUUUAUUGGGUUUAAAGGGAGCGUAGGUGGAUUGUUAAGUCAGUUGUGAAAGUUUGCGGCUCAACCGUAAAAUUGCAGUUGAAACUGGGAGUCUUGAGUACAGUAGAGGUGGGCGGAAUUCGUGGUGUAGCGGUGAAAUGCUUAGAUAUCACGAAGAACUCCGAUUGCGAAGGCAGCUCACUGGACUGCAACUGACGCUGAGGCUCGAAAGUGUGGGUAUCAAACAGGAUUAGAUACCCCGGUAGUC